UGUCCGAUGGUGUAACUGGCAACACGUCUGAUUUUGGUUCAGAAGAGUCCAGGUUCGAAACCUGGUCGGACAACCA
rnacentral:tRNA from 1 species